rnacentral:tRNA from 1 species
GGCCGGUUAGCUCAGUCAGUUGAGCGUAGCGCUAACCGCGCUAAGGUUGCAGGUUCGAUUCCUGUUCAGUCCC